rnacentral:piRNA from 1 species
UAAGAAAUAGGGAGUUUCCCCUGUGAUUU